GCCGCUGUGGUGGAAUUGGUAGACACAAGGGACUUAAAAUCCCUCGGAGUAAAAUCCGUACCGGUUCAAGUCCGGUCAGCGGCACCA
rnacentral:tRNA from 1 species